rnacentral:rRNA from 1 species
GCAGUCGAGCGGACCGAUGGGAGCUUGCUCCUUUAGGUUAGCGGCGGACGGGUGAGUAACACGUGGGCAACCUGCCCUGCAGACUGGGAUAACUUCGGGAAACCAGAGCUAAUACCGGAUAACACCGAAAACCGCAUGGUUUUCGGUUGAAAGGCGGCUUUUAGCUGUCACUGCAGGAUGGGCCCGCGGCGCAUUAGCUAGUUGGUGAGGUAACGGCUCACCAAGGCGACGAUGCGUAGCCGACCUGAGAGGGUGACCGGCCACACUGGGACUGAGACACGGCCCAGACUCCUACGGGAGGCAGCAGUAGGGAAUCUUCCGCAAUGGACGAAAGUCUGACGGAGCAACGCCGCGUGAGCGAAGAAGGUCUUCGGAUCGUAAAGCUCUGUUGUCAGGGAAGAACAGGUGCCGUUCGAACAGGGCGGUACCUUGACGGUACCUGACGAGGAAGCCACGGCUAACUACGUGCCAGCAGCCGCGGUAAU